rnacentral:rRNA from 1 species
UACAGAGGGUGCGAGCGUUAAUCGGAAUUACUGGGCGUAAAGCGUGCGUAGACGGUUAUUUAAGUCGGAUGUGAAAUCCCCAGGCUUAACCUGGGAACUGCAUUCGAGACUGCAUUGCUAGAGUAUGGGAGAGGGAAGUGGAAUUUCCGGUGUAGCGGUGAAAUGCGUAGAUAUCGGAAGGAACAUCAGUGGCGAAAGCGACUUCCUGGACCAAUACUGACGCUCAUGUGCGAAAGCGUGGGGAGCAAACGGG